UGGGAGCGCUUAUGCUAUCGAGCGUUACUUCAUGCUUCUUGAGACCGUAUUGGACUUGUUUACCGCGGGGCACAGACCUACUAAGUGGUGCUGUGUUGUUUCAUGACUGGUUUCCUUUCCUUUGCUGAGGGAUCCAAAGCGGGUGCUAGACCUGUACGUAUUGCUAAUUUUGCGUGCGCGUUUGUUUCUUUGAGUAGGGUUGUUUGAGAUCGCAGCCCAAAGUAGGUGGUAUACUUCAUCUAAAGCUAAAUACGACUACGAAUCCGAUAGUAAACAAGUACCGUGAGGGAAAGUUGCAAAGUACUUUGAAGAGAGAGUUCAAGAGGACGUGAAACCGAUAGGAUGGAAGCAGAUGAAGUUGACGAACGUGUGUUGUAUUCAGAGUUACAUUUUAUGUGUAAUUUGUUUUUGCGACCAAUGUGGGCUGACGUAUUCGGUUAAUGCGAUGUGCUUAGCAAUGAUGGCGGCCCUGCGGAGGGAUUACCAAUCAGUGUACGGUGCUCGGUAUAGCUGAAGGUUUCGUCGGUUCUCAAGUCAAGCCUUCAUCUGGACCCGUCUUGGAAACACGGACCAAAGGAGUGGAACGUUACGCCAGGCC
rnacentral:rRNA from 1 species